GCCUGAGUGGCUCAGCGGUUGAGCGUCUGCCUUCAGCUCAGGGUGUGACCCUGGGGUUCUGGGAUCGAGUCCCACAUCGGGCU
rnacentral:tRNA from 1 species